rnacentral:rRNA from 1 species
AGCGAACGCUGGCGGCAGGCCUAACACAUGCAAGUCGAACGAGGUCUUCGGACUUAGUGGCGGACGGGUGAGUAACACGUGGGAACGUGCCUUUAGGUUCGGAAUAACUCAGGGAAACUUGUGCUAAUACCGACUGUGCCCUUCGGGGGAAAGAUUUAUCGCCUUUAGAGCGGCCUACGUCUGAUUAGCUAGGUGGUGAGGUAAAGGCUCACCAAGGCGACGAUCAGUAGCUGGUCUGAGAGGAUGAUCAGCCACUUUGGGACUGAGACACGGCCCAAAAUCCUGCGGGAGGCGGCAGUGGGGAAUCUUGCGCAAUGGGCGAAAGCAUGACGCAGCCAUGCCGCGUGAAUGAUGAAGGUCUUAGGAUUGUAAAAUUCUUUCACCGGGGACGAUAAUGACGGUACCCGGAGAAGAAGCCCCGGCUAACUUCGUGCCAGCAGCCGCCGUAAGAC